AAGGCCCUCCUGAACUUCAUUGAGAUGCUGAGCCAGCAUGACUACUUGGCCAUGCCUCAGGGGAACGUCAUCAUCAACUAUGUCAUCAAGCUCAGCGAGUCUGACUGCUCAAAUGAAGAGGACAUCCAGCUAAUGUGUUCCAAAAUCCUACAGAUGGUGUCCUUGCCCAAACUGAUUACCUUGGCGUGCCAGCCCAGCAACACCUUGGCCUUCGUGUCGCUGAGUAGGACGGCCACAAACAUGGCUCUGAAGGCCCGGUCCCUGGGCCAGUUCCCCUACCUUAGCAGCUUUCACCUCAGCCCUACCCAGUUCGUCUCCCCACAGAAACUCCUGACCCAUCUUGUGACUUUUCUAUAUAAAUUCUUUGGAUUUACCCUGCGGACCUCAAGGAAUAUGAAACUGGUGAAGAUGAUGCUCUUAUCCAUCUUACAAAGUGUCCACGAA
rnacentral:lncRNA from 1 species